CCUGCAUAGGAGUUGUUUAUUCCAUUUUACAGUUGAGGAAACUGAGGCUGAGAGGCUUUUGAGUGGGUCCGAGCCCUGGUUGCUGGAGUCAUAAUGGUGAAGAGGAUGGUGACAUCCAAGGACAACCACAGGGCCUCUCUCCUGACACUGGUGAGAACCAGAUUCCUUUCCCUGGUUCUGUAGCUCCCAGCAGAGUUUUGGAAGCUGAUUAAAGAGAAUGUUGGAAAUAACAGGCAAUUAGAAACCUUAUUAAAAAAAGGAAAAACAC
rnacentral:lncRNA from 10 species